rnacentral:rRNA from 1 species
GACGAACGCUGGCGGCGCGCUUAACACAUGCAAGUCGAGCGAUGAAACUUUAACAGAACCCUUCGGGGCGAAGAUAAAGUGGAUUAGCGGCGGACGGGUGAGUAACACGUGAGUAACCUGCCUUAGACAUUGGGAUAGCCUCGGGAAACCGGGAUUAAUACCAAAUAAAAUCAUAAUGACACAUGUCAUAACGAUCAAAACUCCGGUGGUCUAAGAUGGACUCGCGUCCCAUUAGCUAGUUGGUAGAGUAAAAGCCUACCAAGGCGAUGAUGGGUAGCCGGCCUGAGAGGGUGAACGGCCACAUUGGAACUGAGAAACGGUCCAAACUCCUACGGGAAGCAGCAGUGGGGAAUAUUGCACAAUGGAGGGAACUCUGAUGCAGCGACGCCGCGUGAACGAAGAAGGCUUUCGAGUCGUAAAGUUCUUUUAUAUGGGAAGAUAAUGACGGUACCAUAAGAAAAAGCCCCGGCUAACUACGUG